rnacentral:rRNA from 1 species
CCUUUGACAUGUACGGAAUUCGCCAGAGAUGGCUUAGUGCUCGAAAGAGAACCGUAACACAGGUGCUGCAUGGCUGUCGUCAGCUCGUGUCGUGAGAUGUUGGGUUAAGUCCCGCAACGAGCGCAACCCUUGUCAUUAGUUGCUACAUUUAGUUGGGCACUCUAAUGAGACUGCCGGUGACAAACCGGAGGAAGGUGGGGAUGACGUCAAGUCCUCAUGGCCCUUAUAGGUAGGGCUACACACGUCAUACAAUGGAUGGUACAAAGGGUCGCCAACCCGCGAGGGGGAGCCAAUCCCAUAAAACCAUUCGUAGUCCGGAUCGCAGUCUGCAACUCGACUGCGUGAAGUCGGAAUCGCUAGUAAUCGUGGAUCAGAAUGUCACGGUGAAUACGUUCCCGGGUCUU